AGGACGAACGCUGGCGGCGUGCUUAACACAUGCAAGUCGAGCGGAAAGGCCCUUCGGGGUACUCGAGCGGCGAACGGGUGAGUAACACGUGAGUAAUCUGCCCCUAGCUCUGGGAUAGCUCCGGGAAACCGGGAUUAAUACCAGAUAUGACCACUAUAGACAUCUGUGGUGGUGGAAAGAAUUUCGGCUAGGGAUGAGCUCGCGGCCUAUCAGCUUGUUGGUGGGGUAACGGCCUACCAAGGCGACGACGGGUAGCCGGCCUGAGAGGGCGACCGGCCACACUGGGACUGAGACACGGCCCAGACUCCUACGGGAGGCAGCAGUGGGGAAUAUUGCGCAAUGGGCGAAAGCCUGACACAGCGACGCCGCGUGGGGGAUGAAGGCCUUCGGGUUGUAAACCCCUUUCAGCAGGGACGAAGCGAAAGUGACGGUACCUGCAGAAGAAGCGCCGGCUAACUACGUGCCAGCAGCCGC
rnacentral:rRNA from 1 species